UACGUAGGCAGCGAGCGUUGUUCGGAAUUACUGGGCGUAAAGAGUGUGUAGGCGGUGUUCCCAGUCUGUUGUGAAAUCCCCCGGCUCAACCGAGGAAUUGCGCUUCAAACCGGCAGGCUUGAGGAGGAUAGAGGUGGGCGGAACUGAUGGUGGAGCGGUGAAAUGCGUUGAUAUCAUCAGGAACACCGGAGGCGAAAGCGGUCCACUGGGUCCUUUCUGACGCUGAGGGACGAAAGCUAGGGGAGCGAACGGG
rnacentral:rRNA from 1 species